CUCAUCUAAGCAAUGGAUUAGUUAUCUUGGGUCUACACAAAGGUUUACUAUUUUCUGCCAAGGAAAUAUGAGCUGUCAAGAAAGAGAAUCUGCUGCACAAAAAAGCAAUGAUGACAAGCUGCUUCUUGGAAAAUGUGGAAAGUCUUUAAGAACAUGGGAGAAAAGGCCAAUCAGGCAUGCCAAGAUAGUUCAUGGCUUGAAACUGUAAUACAGUGCUGCGGCUGCCUCGAAAAAACACCAGAGAAAAUGUGUGUGUUUAGGGAAGAAUGGGGGCUCAGAGUUCUCCUGUGGGAAUGUGAAAGAUAUUGCACGACUGCAACUUCUCCCUUGACUGCUGAUCCAGCAAUCUGAUCUUGAGUAACCCUGCUUUCAACCACCCUGUCUCUAAUUAUUCAUCCCCUCACCGAGAUUUUAAAGUCUUGAUUUAGACAGGUGAUCAUGUAAUCAACAGCCAAAGAACCACAACUGUGGCAACCCGGGCAGAGUUUGGGUUAGUUUUCAUUAAACAAACCCUUGCAUGCCUUGUGGCAGGGAAAUGGGGCUUUCUUCUUUAUUGGACUUCCUCCAGUACUUCUAAAGGGCUCAAGACAAAAACUUGCAGCAUGGAGUGCGUGGGAAAUUCGUGUUGAAGUCAGAGUGUGAUUUGCAUAAGAUUGUUAUAUGACCCAAUACGUGUGCAAUCUACUUGUGUUCUGCUUUAAUUAGGUAUGGACAGCCUGUUUCCAAAAUAAAUAGCAGCUCCAGUGACUGAGGUCUUUAUCC
rnacentral:lncRNA from 1 species